GAUAUGAAUUAUGGUCUUAUAUGAAUUUUGAUGGUAUUUGAUAGGUUUUGAAGAAAAUACUUGGUUUAGAGAAGAAUUUUGAAGCUCGGAGCAGUGAAGAAUACAAGCUGAAUUUCAAAUUGAAUGGAAUUGUUGGUGUGGCGAAAGUAGAAAACUUGGAAUGCAUUUUGAUUUUCUUGUGGGCUGAAUUCGAUUCCUUUUUGCCCAAGGCCUUGCGCCAUUUUUCUUUUAAUUAGUAUAUUAGGCCUUAGUUUUCUAAUAAGUGGGCCUGCGCCACUUUUAGGUUUCCUAUUAAUUUAGGUUAGUUUUGUUAUUAGUUUAGGGCCCAUACGCCACUUUUAGUUUUUAAUAGUAGAAUUAGGUUAUUCUUUAGUCAUAUAUAUAUAUGUGAAGUAGACAUUUUUGUGGGGAGAUAUCACAAAUCAGACGGCACCUUGGAGAGCAGAAUUCUGGACGCAAGUUUUGGAGCAAUUCAAACUUUAAUUAGAGAAAUUCUCGCCAGUCCUUUGGGAGACGAUUUUGCUUACUGUUGUCUGCGCAGUGUGGGCAUACCGGCUGACUGCCGGAUAUAUUUGGUGUAAAACGACGCACCA